rnacentral:sRNA from 1 species
AUUGCACAUAUCCCUGCUUCUGCUGUUAUAUCAGCCUCUACCUCUCAGGUCCCCUCCAUAGCAACAGUUCCUCCUAGCCUCACAACUUCAGCUCCAUUAAUUCGCCGUCAGCUCUCACAUGACCACGAAUCUGUUGGCCCUCCUAGCCUGGAUGCUCAGCCCAACUCAAAGACAGAAAGAUCAAAAUCAUAUGAUGAGGGUCUGGAUGAUUACAGAGAAGAUGCAAAAUUGUCCUUUAAGCACGUAUCUAGUCUGAAGGGAAUCAAGAUCGCAGACAGCCAGAAGUCAUCAGAAGACUCUGGGUCCAGAAAAGAUUCUUCCUCAGAGGUCUUCAGUGAUGCUGCCAAGGAAGGGUGGCUCCAUUUCCGACCCCUUGUCACCGAUAAGGGCAAGACAUCUCUUACAGUGAGACCAAGAGGAAAAAUGUGUUUCGACUCACCACGUCCGACUGUGAAUGCCUGUUUCAGGCUGAAGACAGAGAUGAUAUGUUAGCUUGGAUCAAGACGAUCCAGGAGAGCAGCAACCUAAACGAAGAGGACACUGGAGUCACUAACAGGGAUCUAAUUAGUCGAAGAAUAAAAGAAUACAACAAUCUGAUGAGCAAAGCAGAACAGUUGCCAAAAACACCUCGCCAGAGUCUCAGCAUCAGGCAAACUUUGCUUGGUGCUAAAUCAGAGCCAAAGACUCAAAGCCCACACUCUCCGAAGGAAGAGUCG